UUUUGAAGUAAAACUUCUUUACGCACGCUUGACUUGGGGAGUAAGCUGGCGAAUGCGUGACGAGAGCGUUACGAAAAUGUGAUCGGGCGAGGCGAACGGAGUAAGAGAGAGAGGUGCGAGUGCACAUUUUCUUUCUCUCAUGCUCUCAUACCCAGUUAAGUUUCGUAUAUCCAAGACUCAGUGCAGGAUUAUUGUGUAGAAGUUUUACUUGAGUCGUGAUCUAAAUUAGAGCUCACUCUUUUUUUAUUGUUUUAUUACUGUGUCAAAGUAAACACCAGUGUCAAGUGUUUUGACGUCGUUAAGCAGACGUCAUUAGCUCAAUGACAGGAUUUAAUGUCACGUUUCAUUACGGAACCUUAAAAUUAAAUAUUAAUCAAAAUCGCUCACAAAAGCUUGAUUUAAUAAUGGCUUUCCUUAAGCAGGCGUCAAGCGUAUCCGCGUUGCACACGAAAUGAACGGCUAGGCCCUGUCAAGGACGUUGUACGUAAUCACAGAAUUUUCCUCCUUAAUCCUCAUACAAUAGAUGUCAUAAUCCUUUCAAAACAACCUUUGACAAUGAAACUAAACUAAAUACUUCUGCUUUCAAAUAAAAUUUGAUUCUUAUUCUGAUACCAGAAGGUUGUAAAUUAUCUGGGGCAGUGUGUUUUAUUAAAAAGCUAGUAGUAAUUUAUUUCUAGUUUACGAUUGUUUUCUCCUUGGUUCGUAUUUUGAUACAGCUUUGUUACAGGAUAUUCGGAUAGUGUUUUUUUUUAAAGCUAGAAUAAAUAGAUCACAUCAAUGAAAUAUUAUUAUGAAUUGUAAUCAUGUUUAUA
rnacentral:misc_RNA from 1 species